GCUUGGGGGCUUGUCGGGGGUAGAUCCCUAGUACCCGCAAGGAAGGUAGAAGGCGGACUCCUACUAGGAUUCCUCUGUAAUCUUACUAGGGCUGAUACCAUGUGAUCCUACUAGGACUCCUCCUUGUAACAGACUAGUAAUCCCGCCCCUUAGAGUAUAUAAAGGAGGAUAGGGGUACCUAGAUCGGGAGCUUAGAGAUAACAGAGAACCCUCAGAACCACCAAGAGGUUCAACACCAAACAACACCCAAGCGCAGGGCGCAAUAUAUAACACCCCAAACAGGACGUAGGGUAUUACGCUACUAUGGUGGCCCGAACAUGUAUAAAUCCGUAUCUUGUGUCCUCACUUUUACCUUCGAGUUCCAGGUCCGGCAAUUCCCCACCAACCCAUCUACUAUCUCCG
rnacentral:lncRNA from 1 species